UGGGGGGAUAUACACGGCUGUGAUUAUAAUCUAAGAGAUUUCUCUUGGUAGAUAAUGCGGUCGGUAUUUGAUUGCAAGGAAUUCUAGGUCAGGUGAACAAAAGGACUUGAGUUCCUGUAUGUUGUUAUGAUCACACCACGACUCGUUAAUCAUAAGGCAUACACCCCCGCCCUUCUUCUUACCAGAGAGAUUUGUUUCUGUCGGUGUGAUGCAUGAAGAAACCGGGUGGCUGUACCGACUCUGAUAACAUAUCCCGAGUGAGCCAUGCUUCCGUGAAACAGAGAAUGUUACAAUCUCAGAUGUCUCUCUGGAAGGCAACCAGAAGACCGCUCUGUCUGUGGCGACAUUGUUUUGAGUCGCCUAGGGGAUCCAAUCCAUUGUCCUGGGUGGUGGUCCAAACAUAGGAUCCGCUUCAAGAAAGUCGUAUUCCUGGUCAUAAUGUUGCUAAGUCCCCUCCUGUUCCCUGAUUAAGAGGUGAUGACUACUCCACUCCACUACCACUUUCUCAUGACAUGAACUGAAGCCACAUCUCAUGUGCCUACUCAUCCACUGGCACAUUGAAUGUUUUCCCUCCACGCACUUCAAAUCCUAUCCUGCACUGGUCAAGCCUCUGAACACCUCAACUCAUGUCACAUACCCUCAUUCAAGCACUGCUGUGGUCCCUUUCCAACUGAACACGCAAAGUGAAAAGUUCACCCAAACGUCCCCAGGCCCCACUUAUGGAGUGGUGGAGUACGGGCAAUGGCUUUCUUUUUCCAUACCACCUCUGAGGACACCCGUCAUCCAUCCUGCUACCCUCUCUCCUGAACGGUAGGUGCACUCCUAGAACUGCCUCUCACCAAAUUGGAUUAAUUAAAAGCAUUGCUUUGAAGUGACAGGGCCUCGAACACUGAAGUGGCAGACUCUUAUUCACAGGAGACACGGCAGGGGGUGGAGGGGCAUGCAGAAAUAAUGGGAUGGAGAGACCAUGGGUGGGGUAAUGAGAGGGAGGAAAGAGAGCAUCUGUAGAACAGAGUGGGGGAAGGUGGGAAGGAAGAGGGCGAGGGAGGGAGAAGAAAAACUUGGCUGGAGAGAGCAACAGGGCUUUCGACUCUGUCAAUCACCAUAUUCUUAUCGGCAGACUCAGUAGCCUCGGUUUUUCUAAUGACUGCCUUGCCUGGUUCACCAACUACUUUGCAGACAGAGUUCAGUGUGUCAAAUCGGAGGGCAUGUUGUCCGGUCCUCUGGCAGUCUCUAUGGGGGUACCACAGGGUUCAAUUCUCGGGCCGACUCUUUUCUCUGUAUAUAUCAAUGAUGUUGCUCUUGCUGUGGGCGAUUCCCUGAUCCACCUCUACGCAGACGACACCAUUCUGUAUACUUCUAGCCCUUCCUUGGACACUGUGCUAUCUAGCCUCCAAACGAGCUUCAAUGCCAUACAACACUCCUUCCGUGGCCUCCAACUGCUCUUAAAACGCUAGUAAAACCAAAUGCAUGCUUUCAACCGUUUGCUGCCUGCACCCGCACGCCCGACUAGCAUCACCACCCUGGACGGUUCCGACCUAGAAUAUGUGGACAUCUAUAAGUACCUAGGUGUCUGGCUAGACUGCAAACUCUCCUUCCAGACUCAUAUCAAACAUCUCCAAUCCAAAAUCAAAUCUAGUCGGCUUUCUAUUUCGCAACAAAGGCUCCUUCACUCACGCCGCCAAACUUACCCUAGUAAAACUGACUAUCCUACCGAUCCUCGACUUCGGCGAUGUCAUCUACAAAAUAGCUUCCGAUACUCUACUCAGCAAACUGGAUGCAGUUUAUCACAGUGCCAUCCGUUUUGUUACUAAAGCACCUUAUACGACCCACCACUGCGACCUGUAUGCCCUAGUCGGCUGGCCCUCGCUACAUGUUCGUCGUCAGACCCACUGGCUCCAGGUCAUCUACAAGGCUAUGCUAGGUAAAGUGCCUCCUUAUCUCAGUUCACUGGUCACGAUGGCUACACCCACCCGUAGCACGCGCUCCAGCAGGUGUAUCUCACUGAUCAUCCCUAAAGACAAAACCUCAUUUGGACGCCUUUCCUUCCAGUUCUCUGCUGCCUGCGACUGGAACGAAUUGCAAAAAUCUCUGAAGUUGGAGACUUUUAUCUCCCUCAACAACUUUAAACAUCUGCUAUCCGAGCAGCUAAACGAUCGCUGCAGCUGUACAUAGUCCAUCGGUAUAUAGCCCACCCAAUUUACCUACCUCACCCCCCAUACUGCUUUUAUUUAUUUACUUUUCUGCUCUUUUGCACACCAGUAUCUCUACUUGCACAUGAUCAUCUGAUGAUUUAUCACUCCAGUGUUAAUCUGCUAAAUUGUAAUUAUUCGAUUUAUUGCCUACCUCAUGCCUUUUGCACACAUUGUAUAUAGAUUAUUUUUUUCUACCAUGUUAUUGACUUGUUUAUUGUUUACUCCAUGUGUAACUCUGUGUUGUUGUCUGUUCACACUGCUAUGCUUUAUCUUGGCCAGGUCGCAGUUGCAAAUGAGAACUUGUUCUCAACUAGCCUACCUGGUUAAAUAAAGGUGAAAUUAAAAAAUUUAAAAAAAGGGAAAGGAGGCAAACAAAAAAGAGGAAAUAAAAGUGGGAGGCCUUUCUCUCUUCCUCUCCUAAAAACAUCUGACUUUGUGGCAGUAUUUCCCCAGAGCACCUGACAUACAAUUAAACACAUCGACUCCCCCACUGAAGCCUCUCCUCGUCAAGAACAUGAGCAGCCACUGCAGAUGGACCGCAACUCAGAGUUGGACUCCUGGGAGAACAUUUUGGGGCUGGAAGAUGGCUACUGCAACAAGAGUGCUGUAACUUAAGCUCUAGCAUCCAAUUAGUUCCGCCACCUAUCGGACUGAAUAUUCUGAUGAUUGUGCUGGGUCAGAGGCUAGUCUGUGUAGGUGCUUAAGAGGGAGUAUCCAUUCACAGAGGAGCAUACAGUAGUUAUGUAAGUUCUCUGUUCUGUGCCUACUCCACCUCAGCAACAUUGACAGGGGCAAAGGGAGGUAUUGUAUGGGCAAUCAGACUGGCCCUGUAGCCAACCACUUGCUCAGCUGUGCCAGGUUCUCAGUCACUCCCAGCAGCACUCUCCAGGGUAAUUUAUGAAGUUAAGUGCAAUGCUUUCAUCAAUUUCCCAGUUCUAAUUUCUAUCCAUUUACACCGUUAUGUAAUUAUCUCAGUUAAUAUAGAGGCACGGCUUUGUUUGUUUGUUUUCCCUCUACCUCUUUGCACCGGUCUGAAUCUUCAUCUCUAGUAUAAACACAUACACCCUCAGUUGUUCAGGUGGACCAACACUAGAUAAAGCUCAACCUCUUUAAACCCCCAGGGUGUCCAUGUGUCAGAUCAUUGUGGGACCUUUUGGUCAGAUCUGAUACAGCAGAGCAGCAACAGCGAGGAAUCCAAUGAUUCGGUUGAUUAUAUAUCUCCCCUGAGUAGUUAUCAAGAAAAUAUGAAAAAUUCAGCAGAUUAGAAAUGGUUCCCUUUUUUAAACAAAUAAGGAUGCAGUUUCAUGAUAAAAAACGUAAUUCUCAAGAAGCAAAUGAUUCUGGAAGACAUGAAAACCCCCAAGCGGAAAACAAUCCUAAUAUUUGUUCAUUUUGAUUGCUCUCGUUAUUUUUGCUCAAGGCCUGGCUUUGCUGGCCAAAAGUGAGUAUUUCUGUAGGAGGGGAUGUGGGUUGUUUACCAGAACCAUUUGCCAUGAAUAAACCCACAAAGAUGUGAUAAAAAUAAAAGGAAGCAAAAAUAUCCGUAGAAAAAAAAUCAUUAUUUCCAUCCAAUGUUACCACUAGGUCCAAGCUCUCAAGAGCAGGAGGUCAGUCUUGAAGAUCCUGUGCACAGUAUUCUGUACUGUGAACAUGACUGCCCCCAAUGACAUUGUAUUGUUCAAAUUACUGAAUACAAAAUGUUCCAGGAUUAUAAACAGGAUAUGUUGCUGUUAUGCAAUCAAUUAAUGCAUUAUUUAUAAGACAAAUUCUCUUAAUUCUCAUACUGUAAAAUAGCAAGAGACUGACAAGGUUUCAAACAAGUCAUAACGGCUCACCAUGUAAAAU